rnacentral:rRNA from 1 species
GUGUCAGCAGCCGCGGUAACACGUAGGGAGCAAGCGUUGUCCGGAUUUAUUGGGCGUAAAGAGCUCGUAGGUGGUUCGGUAAGUCGGGUGUGAAAACUCUGGGCUCAACUCAGAGACGCCACCCGAUACUGCUGUGACUCGAGUCUGGUAGGGGAGUGUGGAAUUCCCAGUGUAGCGGUGAAAUGCGCAGAUAUUGGGAGGAACACCAGUGGCGAAGGCGGCACUCUGGGCCAGUACUGACACUGAGGAGCGAAAGCGUGGGUAGCGAACAGGAUUAGAUACCCCCGUAGUCC